CUUUCGGAGCUGUGCGGCAUUCUGAGCAGGAAUGGCAGUGUGGACCUCUGUGAUGGGACAUCUUGUGGGAUCUCACAGCCAGUUCUGUGGCAAAGGAGGAUGAAGGCUUACGAGCUGGGGUGACGAUAGCUUUAAACCACCAUGAUUAUAACUGAGGCACACAAAAUAAUGAUUUGGGGGCUACUUACAGAGUAAGCAGUUUUUACAUAAAGAUUCCCCCCCCCCAGGACUCGUCAGGAAGCUGGAUAACAGAGCGAGCGCAAUGUGCUAGAAUAGAAGACCAGAAAAUGAAAUGGUGGAGUUUGAGGCUGGAUAGACAGUUUGAAAGGUACAAAUAAUGGUUUGAAUAAAGAAAGGUAUUAAUGGGUCACCUCAAGUGAAGGCACUGCAAACACAAUGAUUGGUCAUUCUGAAUUUCCGGUCCUUCAUUCUGAAUUUCAAAGGCUCCUGUGACAAGUGGACAUGCAGUGACUGCACCUUUGUUUCUGAGGUGCCUGGAUGGAGGCUCAAAUAGAAGAUGGUGUCAGAUAUAUUGUGUUAAAAUUUUACCAUUAAAGUGUAUUAUAACAUGAA
rnacentral:lncRNA from 1 species